rnacentral:rRNA from 1 species
AACGAACGCUGGCGGCAUGCCUAACACAUGCAAGUCGAACGAGACCUUCGGGUCUAGUGGCGCACGGGUGCGUAACGCGUGGGAAGCCGCCCUUAGGUUCGGAAUAACUUCCCGUAAGGGGUGCUAAUACCGGAUAAUGUCUUCGGACCAAAGAUUUAUCGCCUUUGGAUGGGCUCGCGUUGGAUUCGCUAGUUGGUAGGGUAAAAGCCUACCAAGGCGACGAUCCAUAGCUGGUCGGAGAGGAUGAUCAUCCACACUGGGACUGAGACACGGCCCAGACUCCUACGCGAUGGAGCAGAGGGGAAUAUUGGACGAGGGGCGAAAGCCUGAUCCAGCAGUGCCGCGUGAGUGAUGAAGGCCUUAGGGAUGUAAAGCUCUUUUACCCGAGGUGAUAAUGACAUUACCGGGAGAAUAAGCACCGGCUAACUCCGUG